UGAUAUGUUUGCAUUUGGGUUGA
rnacentral:miRNA from 1 species